AAUGCGUGAAGCGGCGCCUGUGGCAGGGGAUCACAGAGCAGCUCUGUAAAACGCUUGCCUAGCUCAGGCCGAUACUCUGCAGCUUUGACUUAAAACUCAGAGGAUCAGAUGUGUGGGAGAGACCCCUGAUCCCAGAGUGGAAAGGAUGAUGGAGAGAUCUCUCUGCCCUUUGCUUCUCCAGAAGGCUUUGUCCGCCCUGGGUUUGCCUGGAGGCAGUCCGGAAGGUGUGCUUUGUGGGCAGCAUCCCCUCCUAGGCUAAGCACAAAGCUUAGCCCUCUCCCUGAAGGCUGCAGAAGAACUUGGAUUUAUUUGGUUUUAACCCUUUACCUUAAUCCUAAUGAAAAACCACAUUUUGUAUUAAAAAUUAGGGCUGCACCAAAUGUGAAGCAUCAGUAGUUUUGCUGCCCCAAUGGGGUAACAUGAAGAAGUGAGAGGGAGUGGAUAUGUUUUUCCUGCUCUGCAUGCACGCACAGGACAUCAUGGUUUCUCUGUGACCCUGAAAAUAAGUAUCUUACUCUCAAAACUUCCUCUCCAACAAGUCAGUUCACCCAGAAAGCCUUGCCCCACCCAAAUGGGGUGUAGUGUUAUCUCUUCAGUGGGCUGCACAAAAAUGAUACCGGUGAGUCAGUACAAUGUCGGAUGUGCAGUUGUACAGAGUGGGAAUACAGGAUGAAGUAGUUUGCAAUGCAGCCUCCCAUCCAAAAAUACCAGCCAACCAACUGUGAGAUGCAUUAGCUAUCAUUUCCCAGUGCAUCUGGUAAGAUUUCAAGCAAAUUUUGGAUUUUUUUUUGCUGUCACACACAGGAAAAUACCAUUGCGGCCCUUGGGACCAGCCUUUUGUAAAUUGGGAAAAGGCACCCAUCCACUUAUCACUGGGCAGAUUUUGCAGAUGCAUCUUUGUGAUUUUGAUGCUCACAUGUCAUCUUCAAAAGCAGCUUAGCAGCCCAAAUGACAUAUGGCACUGGCAGUGGACCGCGUGUGAAAGCUGAGAAGAUGUAUUUUUGGGAAGUCUUACUCCUUUUCCAGUCUGAAGGAAGUGACAGAAACGCUGCUGCUUGCUGAGGAAUGCCUGUGAUGAUGCGUUAAAACUGGCUCCCGAUAAGCGGUUAUGGAAAACCUGCAGGAAGCAUCUGACAACUGACAUUCUCUGUGGACUUCUCCUAUUUCCUCCUCACAUCUCCUGCUUGAGGUCUAUUUCCCACACACUGACUUAGUCCAUUAAGUCAGAAAAGAAGUACAUUAAAAACUUCCUGAUACUUCCCCAUGACCUCAGUACUUUUUAUCUCCAGUUAUUCUCAUUCUUGUUGGCCUAAGAAAUCUUGACUAGAUUCUGAUUCUUAUUCCCAGUGUUGUCCUUUCUCAAGACUUUGCCUUAAAUUAAAUUAUUUUCUUAAUGCUUCAGCUGCUGAAAUCAUGCAUGAAUGAAUACCUUAAUUUUGACAUAAAGAUCAAGGACACUCUGGAAAGAUAAGAUCUAGGUGGAUCCCAUAGGGAUGUUUUUUGUCACUCUUCUGGAUUCUGAUUUGAGGGAGAUUGACUACUGUUUUGGAAUGCUGUGGAUUGGGAAUAGAUUACUCUGUUGUGUCAUAAAGAGGGUUAUAAACUAGAUGAAAUCCAAAUCAUUUUGCCCACCAAAAUCUCAAUCCUCACCUAAUUUGAGGCUGCCCUGCAAAUGAGGUGAAUGUGUUUACCAGACACAUUUGAAUACUUGUACAAUGUGAUCAAUUACAUUGAUUUAUUGGGGAAAAUUUGUAUUUCUGUGCAUGGACAUACACAAAUUGCAUUCCAGUCAUGUAUUUUAUUUUAAGUGGUCUUGCAGAAGCCAGAAGUUAUGCACUUAGCAAUGUGAGAACAGUUGCUAAUGGCAGACAGCCUCUGUAGUUCUUGCACCAUGGCAAUUUGUGGAAAUGCAGUGUGCUUUUUUAAACUGGCAUAAGUUUUUACACCUCUCUUGCACCAUAGGAGCUUAAUCCAUCGUGAAACCUCAUUAGAAGCUGCGCCAUUGUAUCCUGAGGCAGAUGUGAAUUCUGUGUGAGUCACCGAUCUGCGAUCAAGCUGAAGGAAACUGAGUCUGUGGUUCUUAAGAAAGAAGGCACCCAUUUGGGAUGCAUUUACACAGUUCCUUUUGUAUAAAUCAUUAGUGCUAUAAACUAUCCAUUAUUGUUAGGAGAAGAAAUUUAACAAUGCAAAUAAAACAAAAUACUGUGGCAGAGCAAUUUUAUGCUUGAUUGUAAUGUUUAAUGGCAUGUUCUCAUAAAGAGAUUUUUCCCAUCCUUCAGACCUAUCGUGUCUGUGACUCACUUGAUUUCCAAUGGCUUGAACAUCCCUCAUUUUAUUCCUAGGGUUGUUUUCUCUAGAGCAAUUUCUGUAAACGUGCUGCAGCAUGGGGUUAUCCAGGGUUAAUUUCCCUUAUGAUUACACAUCCAGACAGCAUGUAUGUAAAUGCUGCAAGACAAAUGAUAAGGAAACUGCGGGAUGAAAGAAAACAAAUUCUUUUGUUUUGCAUGUAGAUUCAUUUACCAGUAUUGAAGUCUUUCCUUUCCUCACUUUUAAAUGUGAACACAAGCUUAUAUUGGCAUUGUAGUUCUUUAAAAACAUUAUUUUUAUUCAUCACUGACCUUGAAUUUUUGCAUUCUGUUGAUUCCCUUUAUUCCCCAUAUCUCUUCAGAUACUUGUUGCAGGUUCUAUCUUCAUCCUUUACUUCCAGGUACAAGACAGUACCAUCAGUGAGGCAGAGCUUUCUAGCUCUAAACUAGCUGAUUAUAUUAAUGUCAGAAAUAAAAUACAGCUCUUCACAUUCUACUUGUAUUUUUAGUACUGUAUUGUAAUCCUGGUUCUGCUUUCCUUUCUUAUCUCUGCUCUGUCUUGCCCUUAGAUUUUUUUUUUCUUAGACCAGGUUUGCUGGGUUUCCUUGGGAUCUUUCUGCACUGUCCAGCUUUUUGAAGUCUUUGCAUACACUUUAGUCAGAAAGUACUAAAACAUUUGAUAGUCUGUUAACCUGCAGUUGAGUGCCCGUUGUUUUCUUUUCCUGGCUGCCAGGGAGUUUGUUGGCAAUUGAGAUUUAUGGAGCGAAUAAUCCACCUGGCAGGAGACUCUCUGUAACUGAAGAAUGUUCUUUAGUGGAAGAAUGAACAUUCUUUGUGCGUCUAAAAUACCACUAAUAGCUUAUUUAGCAACCUAUACUUCUAUAACAGGGCUUUCAGUUUUGUGUUGGAGGUGGAUUUUUGCAUAUGCUUAAUUCUAGCAUCCAUGCUAAUUCUAUCCCUUAUUUAACUUUCAUCCAUUCCUAUGGCAGGAUAAUGCAUUAUGUGAUCUCUCAGCUUUUUAAUGUGGUCCUUAGUGCAUUUCUUCUAGCUCCUGCUUGAAC